AGCGAACGCUGGCGGCAGGCUUAACACAUGCAAGUCGAGCGGGCACUUCGGUGUCAGCGGCAGACGGGUGAGUAACACGUGGGAACGUACCCUUCGGUUCGGAAUAACGCUGGGAAACUAGCGCUAAUACCGGAUAAGCCCUUACGGGGAAAGAUUUAUCGCCAAAGGAUCGGCCCGCGUCUGAUUAGCUAGUUGGUGGGGUAACGGCUCACCAAGGCGACGAUCAGUAGCUGGUCUGAGAGGAUGACCAGCCUCAUUGGGACUGAGACACGGCCCAAACUCCUACGGGAGGCAGCAGGUGGGGAAUAUUGGACAAUGGGCGCAAGCCUGAUCCAGCCAUGCCGCGUGGAUGAU
rnacentral:rRNA from 1 species